GGGUUGUGAGGUUAAGCGACUAAGCGUACACGGUGGAUGCCCUGGCAGUCAGAGGCGAUGAAGGACGUGCUAAUCUGCGAUAAGCGUCGGUAAGGUGAUAUGAACCGUUAUAACCGGCGAUUUCCGAAUGGGGAAACCCAGUGUGUUUCGACACACUAUCAUUAACUGAAUCCAUAGGUU
rnacentral:rRNA from 1 species